GAAACUGACUGUGGGGGAAAUUGGUUCUUGUUCUGGUGGUCAGGCCAUGCUCAGCAAAUCUUUAAUCCUGUUUUCUGUUGGGCAGGGCUUGUUCCCUCCCUGUUGUUUGACCAAACUAUGGUGGAGGUAAUGAAAAUAAUGGUGACCUCCUUCAAAAUAUCCUGUGCAUGCACUGCAGCACUCAGUGGCCCCAACCCUGCAGCAGGCUAAUCGAUGCCUCCGCCGGAGAUUCCUGGAUACUCACAGGCAUUCUGGCUCUUUCACUUAACUCUGUGGACCAUGAGGAUGAAGACUGUCUUUUUUGAAUUGUAUACUCAGCACCUGGCUCAGUUCUUGACACCUAGUUCAGAAUAAAUUCUGUUCACAUAUGGAUUUGCUAUACUGGAGACAAUAUGUGGUAAUCUAUAGCUUUACUUUCCAACAUUAUUAUAUUCUGGUUUAUAAAAUGGUAGACUUUAUGUGACUGGAGAUCAACUAAAUGAAAUUCAACAAAUUUAAAACAAAGAUAGAAUUCUCUUAAUUAUAUUGUAGAAGACAUAGUAAUUAUUAGUAAUAGCAGGACUGUAAUGUAACUUUUCAGUUUUCAUUUAAAAGUGUAGAAAAAUUAGGAAUAUUGGACAGCUUCCCUAAAGAAUUAGUAUGGUCAUAUUUCCAGAAUUGAGUACUAUAUUUUAAGAUAAAAUAUUUAGAAUGAGACAAAGAAGAGAAGCAUUCCAGCUGUGAUUUUUAUGUCUCAUGUAGCUGUGGCCCACCUGCCCCAAGCAUCAGUGGUUCAAACAAUGGGCUUUCUUGGCUCUGUAAUAUAUUUGUUGGAAAAAGCUGAAGCAAUUAGCAGAGGCAAUUUCAAAUGAGAAGACUCAAGAGAACUAUGUCAGUGAGGCUAUUGAAUAAAACAUAUCUUUGGUUAUAUUUUCUGUAUAAUAUUAGCACAGUUAAAAGAACUUGCUCAGUUUUGCCUGGAGUGAGCUAUCUUUAGUCCCUCAAUCUCUAUUCCAAUAGUUAAUUAUCAUUAUUUAAUAUUUCCAUAACAAUAUAUGCUUUUUAACAUAAGUGCUUUCUAAAAAGUUUUUUAAGAAAUUUCUCUUCUCUGUGGUUGAUGAGGCAAAAGUUAAUUCACAUAAGAUUCACAGGAAAACAACAAAUUAUAUGGAUCCUAUGUCUCAGGUGGAAACCACCUGCAGUUAGCUUUGACACAAGUCAACAGAUUGCAGUUCAUGCUGAUUGAAGGGAAAGGUAACUAAUUUAUGGAAGGUCACCUCUUGGAGUGAGCCAAAAAUCCAACACAAACCUCUGUCCUUAUUCCCCAUGAUCUUGUGCCCCCCAAACAAUAUUAUAAAGAUUAGGAUCCAAUUGGCAAUAAAACUGUAAUGUGAACACAUACAAUUGAAUGUAGUAUUAAAACUGCCAGCUAUCACUAAUCUUUCUUAAUGUGCGGCAGCCAGGACACAAUGAGAAGUGAGAUCUGAUCCCCAAAGGUCCACCGACACCAGAGCCUUAGCUCCAGGAUUGAAUAAUGUCCUGUUGAGGAUUGACUUUCUGUUACCUGAGUCAGGUUAGAUUGUUAAAAGCAACAGACUGCGUCUCUGGUGGGAUUUCUAAUACAAAAUUGAAAUAGCAAUAAUCAACAUACAUACAUGCCAAUGGCUGUUUAAAAGUCAAGCUCAUUCAAUUAAAAAAAAAAGUCUCACAACUUAGAAAUGUGACUUAAAAAUCUCGAGGGCAAUUCCUUCCCACACUCACAACUAUUUGCUCUCCCCUAUCAACUUCUCUCUUUUAUCUUUACUUCUCAGAAGCUUUCAGGGUGCUAAGUAUUUCCUGAAUCAUACGCUCUCCCAAAAGACCUACUUUGGCUCUCUUUUUUCUCUCACUUUACAUCAGUAGGAAAGAUUUGCCUAUAUACAUAGGAUAAAUCUUUAAUCGCUUUCCUUUGCUUUUCACUUUAAUGAGAAACACUGGGAGACUAGGAAUUAUAUAGUGAUAUUCUAGCUGUUAUUUUCUCACUGAAAAAUACAAUUUUGGAAAUCAUUUAAUUUUUCU